rfam:Tupaia chinensis contig12780, whole genome shotgun sequence.
AAGACUAUACUUUCAGUGAUCAUUUCUAUAGUCUGUUACUAGAGAAGAUUCUCUGAUUGUGUAGAGCACUGAAAACCAUGGGGAAGAGGCAUAGCGUUCUCUUCUGAGCAUGAAGUUGGCACUUGGUGUUGAUUUUUAUAAUUUCAUUUACUGUUGAUGAUCAUUCUUCUCUCCCAGCAGAAGAGUAAGAGGGAGAGAAUGCAGUCUGAGUAGA